rnacentral:rRNA from 1 species
GGUACCGUCAAAUCUUGAAGGGUAUUCUCCAACAAGACCUUCUUCCCACCGGACAGGGGUUUACAACCCGAAGGCCUUCAUCCCCCACGCGGCGUCGCUGGGUCAGGCUUUCGCCCAUUGCCCAAUAUUCCCC